rnacentral:rRNA from 1 species
UGGGGAAUUUUGGACAAUGGGCGAAAGCCUGACCCAGCAACGCCGCGUGAAGGAUGAAGUAUUUCGGUAUGUAAACUUCGAAAGAAUAGGAAGAAUAAAUGACGGUACUAUUUAUAAGGUCCGGCUAACUACGUGCCAGCAGCCGCGGUAAUACGUAGGGACCAAGCGUUGUUCGGAUUUACUGGGCGUAAAGGGCGCGUAGGCGGCAUGACAAGUCACUUGUGAAAUCUCUGGGCUUAACCCAGAACGGCCAAGUGAUACUGUCGCGCUAGAGUGCAGAAGGGGCAAUCGGAAUUCUUGGUGUAGCGGUGAAAUGCGUAGAUAUCAAGAGGAACACCUGAGGUGAAGACGGGUUGCUGGGCUGACACUGACGCUGAGGCGCGAAAGCCAGGGGAGCAAA